GAGUUUGAUCAUGGCUCAGGAUGAACGCUAGCGAUAGGCUUAACACAUGCAAGUCGAGGGGCAGCACGGAAUAGCAAUAUUUUGGUGGCGACCGGCGCACGGGUGAGUAACACGUAUGCAACCUACCCAUGACAGUGGAAUAACCCGUCGAAAGGCGGACUAAUACCGCAUAAUAACGAGAUACCGCAUGGUAUUUUGUUCAAAGAUUUAUCGGUCAUGGAUGGGCAUGCGUUCCAUUAGGUAGUUGGCGGGGCAACGGCCCACCAAGCCUGCGAUGGAUAGGGGUUCUGAGAGGAAGGUCCCCCACACUGGUACUGAGACACGGACCAGACUCCUACGGGAGGCAGCAGUGAGGAAUAUUGGUCAAUGGGCGAGAGCCUGAACCAGCCAAAUCGCGUGAAGGAUGAAGGUAUUAUGUAUUGUAAACUUCUUUUACAGGGGAAUAAAGUGCGGGACGUGUCCCGUUUUGUAUGUACCCUGAGAAUAAGGAUCGGCUAACUCCGUGCCAGCAGCCGCGGUAAUACGGAGGAUCCAAGCGUUAUCCGGAUUUAUUGGGUUUAAAGGGUGCGUAGGCGGGGAAUCAAGUCAGCGGUGAAAGUUUGCGGCUCAACCGUAAAAUUGCCGUUGAAACUGGUUCUCUUGAGUGUAGAUGAGGUGGGUGGAACUCGUGGUGUAGCGGUGAAAUGCUUAGAUAUCACGAAGAACUCCAAUUGCGUAGGCAGCUCACUGGGCUACAACUGACGCUGAGGCACGAAGGUGCGGGGAUCAAACAGGAUUAGAUACCCUGGUAGUCCGCACAGUAAACGAUGAAUACUAGCUGUUGGCGAUACACAGCCAGUGGCACAGCGAAAGCGUUAAGUAUUCCACCUGGGGAGUACGUUCGCAAGAAUGAAACUCAAAGGAAUUGACGG
rnacentral:rRNA from 1 species